rnacentral:lncRNA from 1 species
UAGAGAUUGAAAAGUGAUAGUUUUUUGAGGAUAUUAUUCAAUUAAAAUUAGUUUAUUCAAAUUACAGGAGGUAGAUAAAAAAUAGUUUUCUUAGUUUUAGAACUUUAUUUUUGUGUCGAGUUAGUGCAAUUCAUUUAAAUUUGCCUUGCUAACUUCAGUAGCAGUAGCUAGCUACCAACUCAAGUGUGAAGUUUUCGCCGCCAUCGCUACCGAAAAUAUUGGCUUUUUGUUGAAGAACCCCUUUCAUUUGCGGAAAAGGUGUGAAUUAAAACCAUGGGUCAAACUGAGAUCAGUUUCAUGAAGAAGGAUGAAAAGGCGAGGGCUUUCAAUUCCACCUGGUAUCAAACGGAUAGCUGGUUGACAGGGAGUCUUUCAUCAAGCCGUCUGUAUUUCUGGCCUUGCCUACUUUUUGGAAAAGUCUCAGCCUUGGGCGAAAGAUGUGUACAGUUACCUGAAGAACAUCAAUCGUUCAGCUAAACGGCUAAACAAAAGCAGGGAGCAUAUACAUGCCCACAUCAGAGUCAAGCUUCUAGGAAAAAGCUGCAUCGAUCAUGACGAAGGUCAACAAAACAAGAAAGUAAAAAGCAACAGGGAUGUUCUCAAGCGGCUUAUCAACACCACUGCGUUUAUAGGCAUUCAAGAAUGGGCUUUUUGAGGACAUGACGAGAGGGAAAGUUCCGCUAACAAGGGCAACUACAAGGAGCUUGCUGCGGUAAUUGCGCGUUACGAUGCUUUACUUGCUGAACAUAUGGAACUUUCGACUGUCUUUUCUGAGAUGUCUAAAUCAAUUCAGAAUGAUCAGCUCCCAUCGCUUCAUCCUUUAAAUGUUAGAUUAAAGAGAGGCUGACGCAGCGCAUUUUGCGUUACGCUAAGUUCCCUCCUGUUCCCUGAUUAAGAGGUGAUGACCAUUCCACUACCAUCGUCAACUCUCUCCUGACAUGAACUGAAGCCACGUCUCAUGUAGAGGUUCGACCGAUUAUGAUUUUUCAACGCCGAUACCGAUUAUUGGAGGACCAGAAAAGUGUGUUUUCUUUUGUCUUCCCAGUCAAAUCCUGUCCAGCACUAAAGUCAAGCCUCUGAACACCUCAACUCAUGCCUCAUACCCUCAUUCAAUCACUACUGUGAUCCUUUCCCAACAAUGUACAGCCGUUACAGAAUUACCCACCAACAACGGACCAAGCAGCAGAGGAAGGAGCAGCACAAGGAGAGGCACCAGGAGAAAGGCUAUCUGGAGUCAUGGACUUGGGAGGAAAUCCUGGACGGGAAAGGACCAUGGACUCAAGCUGGGGAUUAUCGCCGCCCACAGUGGGAGAUCGAGGCGGCGAGAGCUGAGAGGCGCUGGUAUGAGGAGAGGGAGCGCAACGGACACGGGAGGCAGCCCCACAAUUUUUUUGGGGGGGGCACACGGGGAGAUUGGCGGAGUCAGGUGGUAGACCUAAGCCAACUCCCCGUGCUUACCGGAAGCAGCGUGGUACUGGUAAGACACCGUGUUAUGCUGUGGAGUGCACGGUGUCCCCAGUGCGCGUUCAAAGCCCGGUGCGCUACAUACCAGCCCCCCGCAAGUGCCAUGCGAGUGCAGGCAUCGAGCCAGGACGGAUGGUGCCAGCUCAGCGCGUCUGGUCUCCAGUGCGCCUCCUCGGUCCAGGUUAUCCUGCGCCGGCGUUGUGCACUGUGUCUCCAGAGCGCUGGGAGAGUCCAGUUCGCCCAAUGCCUGCUCUCCGCCCGUGCCGGGCCAAAGUGGGCAUUCAGCCUGGAGUGUGGGUAAAGAGUGUCCGUACCAGAACUCCAGUGCUCCCCCACAGCCCGGUUUAUCCUGUGCCUCCUCCUCGGACCAGGCCUCCAGUGGGUCUCCCCAUCCUGGUCCAUCCUGUGUCACCUCCCAGGACUAGGCCUCCAGUGGGUCUCCCCAUCCUGGUCCGUCCUGUGCCACCUCCCAGGACUAGGCCUCCAGUGGGUCUCACCUGUCCAGAGCAGUCAGAGCUGCCCGCCAGUCAACAGUCGUCAGAGCUGCCCGCCAGUCAACAGUCGUCAGAGCUGCCCGCCAGUCAACAGUCGUCAGAGCUGCCCGCCAGUCAACAGUCGUCAGAGCUGCCCACCAGUCAACAGUCGUCAGAGCUGCCCGCCAGUCAACAGUCGUCAGAGCUGCCCGCCAGUCAACAGUCGCCAGAGCAGACUGCGCUGAACUGCCGGAGUGGCCAGACUGCCCUGAACUGCCGGAGUGGCCAGACUGCCCUAAACUGCCGGAGUGGCCAGACUGCCCUGAACUGCCGGAGUGGCCAGACUGCCCAGAACUGCC